GAGCUCCACUGUGACAUGGAUGUACAGGCAAAAUCCCGUAAGCUGGAUCAGCUUCUUAAAGUACAACAAAUUCCCUGCUAUCGGUCUUCUUCAGUGAGGACCAAAUUUCCCCGCAAGGAAAGUACCUGACUGUUUUGACACUUGCUCAAUCCCCAUGAGGAAAACUAAGUGUUUCCUGUUCAUUAAGAAAAAUCGAGCUCACUCUUGUUGGUGCGGAGCAGAGACUGGCGCCCCACUCCCAGCAGUGAGUUGACUCCUGGCACGCUGGCAGGAACCUCUCUCUCCAAAAGAGGACCAACUCGCUCACACACUCGCAACAGGUGAUCUGGAGAAGUGUGUUUGUACAGUUUGACCUGUAUAAACACACAACCAGUACGUUAAAGACACACAUCUAUACCACACACACACAAAAAAGCACUUUAUAUUCUAAAUAUCCCACGCACAGUACAUUCAUCCAGACAAUAACACUUCAAAACAAAAUUAUAUUUUAUCUCAGCACCAAAACCUUGCACUUAACAAUUACUAACAUUUUAUGACACAUUUCUAUAAAAACACAACGUAUGCCUACAUGAUGAGAAUUUAUAUCACUUAUAUUUAGAGUAAAACAAAAACACACACAUGUGACUGAUCUUAAUAUCCGGGAUGUUAGUAUUUCGAGUCUCGUGACUCAGAGUUCAUCCAGUAUUAAGGGAUUGUGCCAUUUUGAACAUCAGUCAAAUCAGGUGAUGAAUAAGAACACAGAACUCUUUAUGAGGUGCUUCAUUUUCCACACUGCUCUUUAUCUGCCUGAUCAGCAGCCUAUUCCAACGCCUGGCUACUAAUUAAUGAGCUUUUAAUUGCAUUUAGCAGCAUCCUAUUGGACGACACGAGACAGUCCCCCGCUCAAGCAAACACACGCGUGCGCACACACAGAAACAAAUAACCAUGUGCUCAAUGAAGCAAACACACACCGGUAUCCGUGUGCGAACACUGUGUUUGAUUUGUGUCUUAAACCCUCUUACGACCACGUGCCAUGAAACAAAAUCACGGUGUGAUCAGACGACAUGGAGACUAAUGAGUCUUGCUUCGUCCUGCAGUCAUAAGGAUACAUAAUAAUGAUUCAUGAUACACGCUUUGAAAGAAUCAUGAUUAAAAUGAUAAUUACUGUGCGUAAAUAUAACAAUCAUGAACACCGAGUCACUUGCAUUGUUGCAGUUUCAGUUGAUGUCACAGCCUUAAUUUAUUAAUUACUGCUUUUAUAUAUAUAUAAAA